rnacentral:lncRNA from 1 species
AUAUUGUCUUAUUGACUAUGUGUGCCUGCUAUAUUACAACUGUCUAAGAUUACUUCCAAACUUCUUCCUGUUACAAAUAUUCGGAGACAUUCCUUCAUUCAAGAAAAGUGGCCUUGCUCUUAUGUCAUCUGACUAAAAGUUUCAUAGACCAAAGAUAACCAUCCAACCUGUUGGAAUACUGAAACAAUUGCUGCCUGCUUUCCACACACUACAUAAAAUAUGUGGAUAUCCUAAAUUCUACAAAAAAGAUUUGUAAGCAGAUCAAGCAAUACUGGGACUCCCUCUUCUCCAGAAGACAGAGACAUCCUGGCCUCCAUGCAGAGGAAUGUGUGGAUGGACAUAUAUUUAAGGAAGACACUAAACCAGAAAAUACUACAUUACACCCUCUUAAAAGACUUCUAAGAUUGUUGUCAUGCCUAUCACUGACAUUCAGAUGAUGUGUAUUCUUGAUUGUGAUUUCAUGUUUGGAGCUGAUGAAGGAACCCAGGAGAAGAACAUAUGCCUGAGAAGAAGAACUAGUGUGGAAUUGUCAGCCAGGUUUUUGGUGAGUGCUCAGACUGCUUCCUGAUCCGGCACCACAUUUACUACAGUGGACAGAUGCUCUAGUCUCUGAUGACGAGUUGCUAGCUGUAAGGAAGUACCUGGAAUGGGCUCCACUGCAUGAGGUUUGAAGUCUCCAGAGCAGCAAGGAGAGUGGGGAGUAGAACUCAUCAUCUUUAGGUCACUCAUCCCCGAUGGAUUGUUCCCAACCUUAGUAUACAGACAUGGAUGGUUGAACACAAACCUGUCAGGCUGACAACGCAAUAGACAUCUACUAAAGUCCUUGGAACCAUGUUCAGAGUGCUGCACAUCCUCCUAAAGAUGCCACGAAUGACAUGGUUCCUUGUGAUUGUUGUUCUCUUCUUGUUGUUGCUGUUUUCUUUUAACUUUUGAAGAGGAUACAUUAUUAGUCUGUUGCUAUGUUAGUCAUCUCCUGGCAUUAGAAACCAACAUGCCACUGCUUAAAUGUUUUACAUUUCCUACUCUUUUUGGAAAACACAAUGUAUGCACAUCAUUUUUUCCUAUUGUUUCAAAGACAUACCACUAUGUAAUUCAACUUUACAAUUGGAAUCAUUUUGACCAAUAUUCACAUGAAUAUAAAUUUUAUGUGUAAACUU